CUUGCAUGGCUAUUUCUUUUUUGGUGAUUGACCAUAUAUCAUUAUCUAGGACUAAUAUGUAAUUGAAAGACUUGUAUGAAAACCUUUGUAUUGUCAAUAUUAUGUGGAAUGGUUACGAACUCCCCUUGUGGAGGCAUCAAACAUAUAUCCACAAUAAUCACUGGACUAUCUAUUACGUUCACGCUAUUUGUCUUCUAAGUUCGAGUUGUAUAUUUCGCAUGAAAGAAUGAUUGAUCUUCUUUUAACAAAUCAGCUGGUGAAUCACGCAUUGCACAGUUCUCAAAGUACUCCAAACACAGUCAUUCUCCGCCUGCACUGCUCUCGAAGUGGCCAUUGCAUAAUCCAAAUGGUAGAUACGCGUGAAGGAAGGCAAAUCCUUCUACACAUGAAAGAUACAACCUGAAACUUUGUAUGAUAUGUUUUUAAUAUUUAAAGAUGGAAAGUUCAUUGGUGCACUUGAAGGUGUAAAAUAUUAGAAGAAAUAGAUUGCUUCAUAAUUGAUAGAGUCUUUGUCUGGAGAGACCCAAAGCAU
rnacentral:lncRNA from 1 species